AUCAGACAGUACGACGGUUUGGAGGAAGGUAAUCAUGUUCGUCGAUAAUGUGGUGCUCGCUGGGGUUGUCACAGUCGGCCUGAUGGUCGUCUUCCUUGGGGGCUUCGGAUAUUUCAUCUGGCGGGAUGCGCAAAAGAAGCGGUAAUCCGGCUGGAGCAACAGAGCACGCAAGGCAUUUGGGCGACUUAGGUCGCCCUUUUUUUUG
rnacentral:sRNA from 1 species